rnacentral:rRNA from 1 species
GGUCAAGUUAUUAAGGGUGCAGGGCGGAUGCCUUGGCACUAGGAGCCGAUGAAGGACGUGAUAAGCUGCGAUAAGCUUCGGGGAGUUGCACGUAAACUUUGAUCCGAAGAUUUCCGAAUGAGGAAACUCACUUAGAGUAAUGUCUAAGUAUCAUUAAGUGAAUACAUAGCUUAAUGAGGGGAACUCAGGGAACUGAAACAUCUAAGUACCUGAAGGAAGAGAAAGAAAUUCGAUUCCGUAAGUAGCGGCGAGCGAACGCGGAUUAGCCCAAACCAAUAAAGUUUUCUUUAUUGGGGUUGCGGACAUAUCAUAACGAAGAGGUAUCGUAAUUGAAGAGGUUUGGAAAGACCCACCACAGAAGGUAAUAGUCCUGUAUGUUAAACGAGAAGACUUUAGAUAUGAUCCAGAGUACCACGGGACACGUGAAACCCUGUGGGAAGCAGGAGGGACCACCCUCCAAGGCUAAAUACUACCUAGUGACCGAUAGCGUAUAGUACCGUGAGGGAAAGGUGAAAAGAACCCCGGGAGGGGAGUGAAAUAGAACCUGAAACCCUGCACUUACAAGCUGUGGAAGCACAUUUCUUGUGUGACCGCGUACUUUUUGUAGAACGGGCCAACGAGUUACGUUAAGUAGCAAGGUUAAGCACUUAAGGUGCGGAGCCGUAGCGAAAGCGAGUUUUAACUGAGCGUUCAGUUACUUGACGUAGACCCGAAACCGGGCGACCUACCCAUGAGCAGGAUGAAGCGAAAGUAAAAUUUCGUGGAGGUCCGAACCCACGAGCGUUGAAAAGCUCGGGGAUGACUUGUGGGUAGCGGUGAAAUUCCAAUCGAGCCCGGAGAUAGCUGGUUCUCCCCGAAAUAGCUUUAGGGCUAGCCUCAAGGUGAGAGAUACGGAGGUAGAGCACUGAAUGUCCUAGGGGGUAUUGCACCUACCGAAGACUAUCAAACUCCGAAUGCCGUCAUCUUAUACUUGGGAGUCAGACUGUGGGUGAUAAGAUUCAUAGUCGAAAGGGCAACAGCCCAGAUCGUCAGCUAAGGUCCCUAAAUGUAAGUUAAGUGGUAAAGGAUGUGGGAUUGCACAGACAACCAGGAUGUUGGCUUAGAAGCAGCCACUCAUUCAAAGAGUGCGUAAUAGCUCACUGGUCGAGUGAUCCUGCGCCGAAGAUUUCCGGGGCUAAAACUUACUACCGAAGCUACGGCAUCAGUAAUGAUGGGUAGGGGAGCUUCCCAUACGGGUUGAAGCAUGACCGUAAGGACAUGUGGACAGUAUGGGAGUGAGAAUGUUGGCAUGAGU